rnacentral:rRNA from 1 species
GAUGAACGCUGGCGGCGUGCCUAAUACAUGCAAGUCGAACGCUGGAACUCUAGCUUGCUAGAUUGAAGGAGUGGCGAACGGGUGAGUAAUACAUAAGCAACCUACCCACGAAGACUGGGAUAAUCUCUGGAAACGGGGACUAAUACCGGAUAGGUAAUCGGAAGGCAUCUUCUGAUUAUUAAAGGUUAAAAACACUGGUGGAUGGGCUUAUGGCGCAUUAGUUAGUUGGUGAGGUAACGGCCCACCAAGACGAUGAUGCGUAGCCGGCCUGAGAGGGUGAACGGCCACAUUGGGACUGAGACACGGCCCAGACUCCUACGGGAGGCAGCAGUAGGGAAGUUUCGGCAAUGGGGGAAACCCUGACCGAGCAACGCCGCGUGAGUGAUGACGGCCUUCGGGUUGUAAAGCUCUGUUGUAAGGGAAGAACGGUAGAUAGAGAAUAUCUAAAUGACGGUACCUUACCAGAAAGCCACGGCUAACUACGUG